CGCGAAUCGCCCUUCGGGGUGCACCAGGCGCGAAAACUCCACAAUGUACGGAAGUACGAUGGGGUUAUCUCGAGUGCAGUCCGAUAAGGGCUGCUUUUCCAUAGAGUAAUAUCCUGUGGGAAUAAGAGGGGGGCAAGACUGGUGUCAGCCGCCGCGGUAACACCAGCCCCUCGAGUGGUGGGGACUAUUAUUUGGCCUAAAGCGUCCGUAGCUGGCUGUAUCCGUCCCCCGUUAAAUCCAGCGUCCUAAGCGUUGGACCGCGGGUGAUACCAUACAGCUAGAGGGUAGGAUAGGUGAGCGGUAUUUCUGGGGUAGGGGCGAAAUCCUUUGAUCCCAGGAGGACCACCAGUGGCGAAGGCUGCUCACUAGAACACGCCUGACGGUCAGGGACGAAAGCUGGGGCAGCGAACCGGAUUAGAUACCCGGGUAGUCCCAGCUGUAAACGAUGCUAGCUAGGUGUUGGGUCGGCCACGCGCCGCCCCAGUGCCGCAGGGAAGCCGUUAAGCUAGCCGCCUGGGGAGUACGGCCGCAAGGCUGAAACUUAAAGGAAUUGGCGGGGGAGCAC
rnacentral:rRNA from 1 species